rnacentral:misc_RNA from 1 species
GGAAGGAUCAUUAACACGAAUUUAUUAUCCAAUAUCAAAAACCAAACGUGAACCAAACCCCUCUCCCUAUCUCAGAAAUGAUUUAGGCUAACCUUUUAUUAUUUUUUUUUAAACCCCUGAAAACUUAUCGAGUUUUUUUUUAAUUUUUUUUAAAUAAAAACCCAACUAACUAAAAAUUUUACUAAGACCCAACUUAAUUGUUGUCUCUUAUUAAUAUUUUUUCUUUACGAAAUAAAUAUUAGAUAUUAUAGAACAACUCUUAGCAAUGGAUAUCUUGGUUCUCGCAACGAUGAAGAACGCAGCGAAAUGCGAUAUGUAAUGCGAAUUGCAGAAUUCAGUGAAUCAUCAAAUCUUUGAACGCAAAUUGCGCUCUUGGGAUAGACCUAGGAGCACGCCCCUUUGAGUAUCGGUUCGUACACAACUCAACUAACACGGCUUGUUUUCGAAUGAGAUUUCAGUUUUAGUUGGAUAAUGAGUCGUCUCGGCACUUUUAGUAGUUGUGUUGAGUCACUUUAAAAAUAGAGAGUUUAGAUCUCCUAGUUCCCUCUUUUUUUGAAAGAAAAAAGAUAGUUACUUGCAUACAGUGCAUCGUUAACAUAAAAAACUAGUGACGUGGAUAAUUUCACCUUUACGGUGUCUUGAAACGUCUUGACUAAUUUUUUGUUUCGAGUUUUGCCUUUGUAAGUUUUAACGAAAAAACUGCGGAUUGAGCUAGACGUAGUCCGGCGCUUUGUGGUUUUACUACAAAGACCAAACCCUUUUGAAUUUAGAUCUCAGAUGGAGCGAGAAUACCCCCUGAAUUUAAGCAUAUUAAUAAGGGGAGGAAAAGAAACUAACAAGGAUUCCCUUAGUAACGGCGAGUGAAGCGGGAAAAGCUCAAAUUGAAAAUCGGGAACCCAAGCGGGUUUUUGAAUUGUAUGCUAGAGACGUGUUGUCAGCGUGUGACCUAGAUUGAAAUCUCUUGAAACAGAGUAUCAUAGAGGGUGAGAAUCCCGUGUGCAAUCUGGAGUUCGCCGCGUACGACGCAUGUUCAUAGAGUCGAGUUGUUUGGGAUUGCAGCUCUAAUUGGGUGGUAAGUUUCAUCUAAAGCUAAAUAUUGGCGAGAGACCGAUAGCGAACAAGUACCGUGAGGGAAAGAUGAAAAGAACUUUGAAAAGAGAGUUAAAAAGUACUUGAAAUUGUUAAGAGGGAAGCGCUGAAAUUCAGUCAUUUGCUUUAGGUUAUUUUGUUAUAUGCUACCGAAGAAUUUCGUAGUGUAGUGUGUAAACCUACAUUAUGGAAUUGGACGGAUAGUGUAUGAUUUGUGUAAUCUAGGGUGAGUCAGAAUCUUUUCGAUUCGCGUGAGAAAGUUAUGAGGAAGGUAGGGUAUAGUAAUAUACCUGUUAUAGCCUUGUAGCCCUAACGUGGGUUGGAUUGAGGAAAUGUGAUAUGAUGCGCCUUUCAGGCUUGGUAGCUUGCUCCUAUUCAUUAAUAUAGAUUAAGAUAACAAUGUUAUGUGAUCUAUGAUUAAUGUUUACUGGGUAAGACUAUCUUAUGCAUCAUCGCGAUUCUGACGAAAUGGAUUUCAUCGACCCGUCUUGAAACACGGACCAAGGAGUCUAACAACUAUGCGAGUAUUUGGGUGGAAAACCCUUGUGCGUAAUGAAAGUAAAGGUUAGCUUGCUAACUGUGGUAGGAAUCCUUAUUUGCAUAAGGAGGCACUAUCGACCGAUCAUCACUUGUGAAAGAUUUGAGUAAGAGCAUAUCUGUUGGGACCCGAAAGAUGGUGAUCUAUGCCUGAACAGGGUGAAGCCAGUGGAAACUCUGGUGGAGGCUCGUAGCGAUACUGACGUGCAAAUCGUUCGUCUGAUUUGGGUAUAGGGGCGAAAGACUAAUCGAACCAUUUAGUAGCUGGUUCCCUC